rnacentral:lncRNA from 1 species
CUUCACUGCCAGCACUGGCACCCUCAGUUGCAUUUCCAGCAUUAGGACUCUCUGCACUCGGAGGUUGUUGCUCUCCUCCUUGAGGAGAUUGAGGUGGUGGUGUCUCGGGAGUUGCUGGCUUAGGCUUUGUCAUUAUAGGCCUACAGACCCUGUAGAUACACAGAUAGUUAACAAGUGGGUUAAGCAGACGGAAAAAUAGGUAAGUAAGAAAGAAACAAAGAGGUGCUCCGACAUGGAAGACGGACAGAGUGAGUGGAGAAGCAAGAAAUGUUAUCAACACUUUGGAGUUAAAGUAGCCCAAAUAUUUAAAUCCGCAAGUUAUGGUAAAACAAUAUCAGUGAACAAAAGUACCUAUCAAGUGCCUCUGCCUUCUUUCGAACAUCAGCUGACAAAAGAACAGGGUUGGCAUAUUUUGGUAGAGCAUCCUGCUGCUGCUUUUUCUCUCUAAACCAAGCCUCGGCUUCGACACACUCAUUCAAAACCUGGGAAGUGCAAGAGAAACAUAAGCAUCAAACCACAUUCUCAGAAGAAGAUGGGUGCUAUAUGAUGAAGAAAAGGGAAGGCAAAUAGCAAGAUCAAGCAGUUAUAUCCAUACCUUCUGCUUAUCUGCUAAAUCAAUGUGAUCAAACUUAGGAUCAGUUGAAACUGCCGCCUCUCUGUAACUAUUUAUGCAAUAAAUAAAUUGAUCAAUCACAGGACCCCUCUCCGUGUACUCCUUGUAUCGUUGCUCAAUUGGGUCACCUUGCUGCAGAUUCACACUAAAUCAGCUCUAUAUAUGCCAAAACAGUAGCAAAAAUAGGAUAUGCGAGAAACAACCAACCUUUUUAAGCUCCUCAAGCUUGGCAAUGUAAACACCCUUAGUUUCAUCCUCUCCAUCUUCAUACAACCAAUCUUCCACUUCUUGAAGUACAGCCAUAAAUUGUUCUCUUUCUGAAUCAGUUACAAACUCUUGAUAUUUAUCUGAAAGCUGGAUAUAUAAAGAAGAAAGUUGUCAGUGACAUAACAAAUGUUUUCAUACAACCACCAUAAAAAGCCAACCGAUACCUUAUUCCUCAUGUCAUAAACAUAGGACUCAACAGCAUUCUUCUUGUCCUUUGUCUCUUCCAUAACACGGUCCUGAAGAGCCAUUUCAAAUUCUUUCUCAACAGCCUUCUGAACAUCAGCAGCUGCCAUUGCACCAUAAACAAUCUCAGUCACUGGUACAGAUGUUUUCUUGACCUUCUUCUUAGGGGCUUCGACCUGCAAGGAAAUGAACACAAUAAAUGCUAAGCUUUACCAACAUCAAUGAGCUAAUACACGGAGAAAAAUAAGAAUAUUAGUUACAACCCAACAUUAAUUAUGCGACAAAAACACUACAGUGAUGCAUUUCAAGGAUUAAAAUAUAGGUAAAUAUAGCUAAGGCAUGUGCUCCCUAUGAUAAAUCAAAUCCUGAUGAUUUAAAGAGAUGCAUAGUCUGAUCAGUAACAAUCAAGUAUGACUGAUGGGAAAUAUUAACUAGCUAGAUAAGUAAUUAUAAGAAGUAAAAGAGUGAUGUGUUACCUUAGCAUCUGUCUCCAUUUGGACAGGUUUGUCUCCAGACUCUGGAACACCAUUCUCAGCCCCUGAAGCAGCUGCAGCUCCUUUUGCAUCCUGCAUAUUUACAUCACUUUCUGAUGUAGUUGAAGGAGCAGCAUCAACUGAAGCUUCAUCUGUUUCCAUUUUGGCAGGUUCCUUAGCUGUCUCUUUAACAACUGGGACUUCCACCUCUUCUUCUUCCAAAAGCUAAAUUACAAACCAAAAUUAUGAGAUCAGAUGAUAUUGUUUCCAUUCACUAGAUAAUUGAAGGGAAAAAAAAGAAUUUUUGGACUUACUGUUGCAGACUCAACAGAGACGAUACCAUGCAGGUUUAGGCGUACUUUGACUUUUAGUUUAGCCCUUUCACCCUUCGUAGAUUGGAAUGGUCCAAUCUGUCAAAAAGUUCAAAGAGAAUCCAAGUGAGCCAAGGACUCACCAGAAACCAGCGGAUCUAUUUUCCUCUAUAAUUUUUAAAAAAAAAACAUAGAAUCCAAUUAGUAAGUGGAACUCUGAAAUACCGUGUAAGUACUGAUUUUUGCUGGCGCCUGCAGUUCACUGACAUCAGCAUACUGUACAUCUAUUGUAAAUGUGCCAGAUCUGUAGAAUGUCAGAGCUUUCACACUGGGUAUCGGAUUCCCUUUGGGGAAAACAAUCGUGCUCUGAUGAUUCUCUAAAGCUCCAUUUUGUGCAUCUGGAGCAGGCCCCUUCCACGAUAAUGCAAUUGGGAAAGGGAAGCUCUCAUUGACCUUCAAUCAGCCAAAUAGAAUUCUUAGUACAGUUCUUACUCAUAAAUCAGCACAAUCUAUUGUGCUGGGAGCUAGAUGUGCAACUAGUAGCAUAAUAUUUAAGAAAAUGUUAAAAGCAACACAGCUGGCAUCUGCUUCACCAAAAAUCUUAGUGGUUCUAUAAUAAAUCAUGCAUUUCCUUCAUCCUUCAAGAAGGCAAUUUCUUCUACCUCCUAAUUUGUCGUUCAUUACCCUUAUAUUUACACUUGAUUCAAGUUAACCAAAUGCAAACAACUAAAUAAAACAAAGGAAAAAUCAAAAGCAUGUUUCAAUACUUGUCUUAACACACUAAAUUGGUGCCUACAUAUAUAAUUUUGUUUUGAUUGGUUUAAAUAAAAUGAAGUUGAAAACCCUGAAUCCAAAUGACUAUGGAAAAAUAUAUUGACCAAGAAAAUGCAAAGCUGACAAGCUGUUACCUUGAAUUCUCGCACUUUAAAGGUAGGACUGAGAAUAGCGCAUUGCAGUGCAGCUCCUUUGGCCACACAUUCACUUGCAUUCAUGGUGCGCCUCGGUUCCUUACCGAAGAACUCUGUCAAAAUCCUCAUAAUUGCAGGUACUCGGGAGCUUGACCCAAUAACCUCAACUGCAUGAAUGUUCUCAGUAGUAAGCCCAGCUUCAGCAAGAGCUUUCUCCAGUGGUUUCUUCACUCUCUCCAGUAUAGGGAUGCUGAUUUGCUCAAACUCAUCCCUCUUGAGAAACCCUCUAACAUCCUUCUCAUCCAUUAAACACUCUAUAUUCAAAGGUGCCUCAGGGUUUGCACUGAGAACCUUCUUCAACUUUUCACAAGCAGCUCGAAGCCUAAUGCAUGCCCUAGCAUUUUGGUAAACAUCAAUUUUGUAUUCUUCCUUGAACUUUGCAGCAAAAUGUUGGAAAAUAGCUUCAUCAAAAUCCCUCCCACCAAGAUUUCUGUCAAACGAAUGAGCCAAUAUCUUCAAUUCGCCUUUCUUAAAGCCAGCAAUACAAACUUGCAAGCUUGCAUGCCCAACGUCAACAAAAGCAACAUUCACUGGGUCAUUUUCAGGUAAAUCUGUCUUGUAAAUACCAUACGCUAAUGCAGUAGCUGUUGUCUCAUGAAUUAGAUGCAAAGGAUGCAAGCCAGCAAUGGUGGCUGCAUCCAUUACAGCUCUUCUCUGGAGAUCAGUGAAAUAAAUUGGAAUUCCAAUGCAACAAUCAACUACUACUGCAUUGAGAUUCUUCUCUGCUAUAGUUUUGAGAUCCGAAAAUACCAUUCCAAGAACCUGGGUAGGUGUAAAAGUUCUCACUUCUCCCAAAUAUCGCGCAUGGAUCAGGGGAUAUCCAUCAGGCCCUUCAGUUACUAAGAAGGGAAGUGUCUUAAUAUCUCUUUGCAGCUCGGGAUCUGAAAAUUGCCGUCCUAUUAGCCUCUUUAUCUGGGAGAUGGUAUUCUUUGGAUUCAUCAUGCUUGAUGCUGCACCAGCAGUACCGAGAAAUCUUUGCUUCUCUCCGAAGCAGACUAUAGCUGGAGUUUCCCUUUUUGAUUCAUCAUUAAGUACGACAUCAAUUCCUCUCUGCCUAGCAACCGCAACAACGCCUCUCUCAUUCCCGAAGUCAAAACCAACCACGCUCAUCUUUUCUGGCUGCGAUAACUACAGCACAAAGAAAGUACCUAGACCACAUCAAAAGACAAGAAUCAACUAAAACGCCAGCAUCCUCUGUGUGUGAAUCUACAUGAAAGAAGCCAUGGGUUUUAAAUGGUAGCACCCAAGAGCAACAUCAAAAAGUGAUUGAUUUUCAAUUAAUAAGCUAAGAAAGCCGAUCACUCGUGGACGGGCUUUCUUGGAAUGCGAUUACUCUAUACAGUAAUUAGUAACUAUGAAUUCACAGAAGAGGGCAAAUAAGUUCUCUCUUUUCUUUUAAGUAAAGAGAGUGAAUAAGAUGGCGUGAAGUGAUCAACAAUCUCCAGCUAGGAAAGCUGAUCACUCGUGGACGGGCUUUCUUGGAAUGCAAUUACUCUAUACAGUAAUUAUGGAUACACAGAAGAGAGCAAAUAAGUUUCCUUUUUAGUAAAGAGUGAAUAAGAUGGCGUGACGUGAUCAACAAUCUCCAGACACGUUCAAAAACGUCAACAAUCAAAAUAACAUAGACUCAAAGUUCAAGAAUGAUUCUUCUUUUUCUAUUUCCCCAAUAUCCAAAGUAUCCAAAGUUCAAGUACACAAUUUUUAUCUAAUUUUACUACCAAGGAAACUUUCAUGCGAGAAUGAACUCGCACACCUACCGACAAGGCAGGAAACUACAGUAAACCACCAACGCAAACUCAAUUUUUUUAAUAUACAAUCUAGCAAUACACCAAAUCCCUAUAUUUAACCUAUAUAAAUUUUAACAAAUAGGCUCCACAUUGCCUUAUAUAAACUUAAGAGCCUAUUUGGAUUGACUUUGACUUAUGACUUACAAGCCAAAAGCCAUUAGUUAGAAAUCCUAACUUAUAACUUUUGACUUAGAUCCAAAUGCUUAAAAGCACUUUCUAAUCUUACUCAAACACUACAAAAGUGCUAUAGAACACUUAGAAUAGGUCAAUCCAAACAAACUUUACAUAAUAUAAACUCAAUCAUACCAAAAAAAAAACACUCCGAUGUUAAGAUUGAUCUGAUUGAAGAUUAAGCAAAGAUCAUAUCACAACAGCACCCUACCUAGCUUAACGGAUUUUCGAUCCACACCUUUCUCAAUCUUCACACCUUUAAUCAUAAACCUCCUUAAUCAUUUGUUCACGUCUUGUAAUUUUCUAAGAAUAGAUUAAGAGUUCGCCAAAGCAACCAACAAUGCAGGAACAACAAACUGCAAUUUUCUACUAAAUCAUGAAACUACAACAGAGUCCAUAUCACCACAGCAUACAACAGAUUCAGUUUACUCCUAGCAAAACACUAAACAACAUGCAAUUUAACCGACAAUACUACAUCUCCAGCUAAACAUCACCAAAUCUAAGCCGAACAAACAAUCAAAAGCAACAAAAUUGUAGAUCUGCAAAUUGAAAUACAGAGAGCAAGAGUUUUGUGAUGCAAACAAUACCUUGAAGACGAAGAAUGGAAUCGCAGUUCUACGAGGCAAAAGGAGAAUAGUAUGAUAAAACAGAAGGGUUUAAAGGAGAGCAAAAUAUGUAAAUGGAGGAGGAAUGAAGAGAAGAGGGGUUUGUGUAGAAUUUUCGAGUUAUAUAUAUUAGCUUUUAUUUAUUUAUAUUUCUUUUUUUUUUUGGAGACUAGGGAGGUUCGAGUGGUCCUAGAUGGGUCUAGAGGUAUUCUAGAAAGUUCUCAUCCUUAGUGCACAAAUAGCCAUAUGUAGAAAGUCCCAUUUAUAAUUUAACCAUUAACCACAUACAUCUGCUCAUGUCAAUUUUCAAAUAGUAUACAUAUAUUAUUUUUUAAAUGUGGUAUUAAUAGAGUAGUUUUGAGAACUAAUCAAAUGUUUUAUAUAACUUUCAAAUAUGCAACAAACUAAAAAAAAAUGAACUAAUAAAUUAAAAUGAAAAGAGUUUCAGAAAAACCUUUAGUUAGAUACAGAUAUGUCAACGAACAACUGCUUACUUCUAGCCGUUUUUAUAUAGUAGUAAAAUAGCUUAAGACUUAAUUCAAAAAGAAGUUAUAUAAUGAUUAAGAAUGAAAUAAUUAAUUAGGUAGUGAUUACUAGAUGGUGAUUGUCCAUGUACGCACGGACCAAACUUAAUAUGAAAGAGUUACAUUUUGGAGUUUCGCCUAUCAAACUUAAUACAAAAUCUUUGGUAGAGAUAAAGUUCGAUAAAUUGUAAGCUAACACCAAAAAAGGGAGCAGUCUAAAGAGGAUUCGGGGGGGAGGGGGGUCAUAAAUAAAAUUAGAAGAUUUGACCUAUUGCAUUCUGAAGGAAGAGAGCUUCAUCAAUUUGUGUUAAUUAAUCCCCUAACUUUCCUUGAGAGAUCAGAGAAAGAGUUGAAAUCAUGAAUUGCACCAACACUAUAACUCCUGAAUGCUAAUAUAUUGACAGGUUUUUUUUUUUUUUUAAUAAAUUACAUCCAUGAAUGGAUGUGCAUCUUAUUUCUUCCAGCAAAAACUUACAUGUUGAUGCACCUUUGAGUUCAAAGGAACUCAACAAAAGUUGUCAGUUCCAUGACUAGCGAUAUGUACAAAAGUAAACUAAUUAACUAACAAAGAAGUUGGCCUUGUCAUAUUUAAUUCUCAUAUUUAACUAACAAAUAUUGACAAGUUUGUUAGCUUCCAUGAAGCAAUGACAGAUGAUCCAUGAGUUUCAACUAUUUGUUAUGAUUCUUGAAUCAACGUAUCCAAUCUCCAAGGCAUUUUCAUUCUCCGUUUAUUCAUUUAGCUAAGAGUAAGAAUCAGUUUCUCUCAAACCCUAUCGUAACAUCUAUUAACCCACUAUUUAAGACCAUAGAGUAGUGCACGACCUUUAGUCAUGUUGCUAGUACCUUGGCCUAGACCCAAAGAGUUAGCAAACAUCAUGUUGUAUUGGUUGUCUGCCUGUCUCUGAUUAGUCCUCCUCCACCACAACACACCAAAUAUAUAUUGAGUGGCAAUUGUUACAAAUAUUAAUUAGACUGUAAUUAGUUGAAAAUUUUGCUAAUAUAUACAUACACAUCAUAUUGUUUUUUUUAUAUAAAAAAAAAAGAAGCAAUUGUGCACUCUUUUUUCUAUAACCCAAAUCAUAUUUAUUAUAUCUUCUAGCGAUUUGGGGUUGCGAUUCGCAGUUUGUAGUAUGUUUUAAAAUUUAUUUGUUAUUCUUAGUUGAUUUGAAGCUUUUAUAAUAUUUAAUACAAUUUUUAUUUUUAUUUUUUAUUUUUGUCAAACUAUUAAAAUUUGAAGUAGUUAACUAGUUUAAAUAGGAUUUGAGACUACUAUUACUUGGAAGGUGUUUGAAAUUUCACAAAUCUACAACAAAAAAUUAAAGUGUUUGAAGUUUUACAAAUUCACGGCAAAAAAAAUAAAUUAACCCACCUUAUUUCGUCCCAUGAUAAAUUUUCAAAAAUUGCAACCUACCCUAUCCAAUCCUGCCCCACAAAAUUUAAAAUUACACUACCUAGCAUAACUUUAAAUCUGCACUACUCUGCAUAUAUCCCGCUUCAUUUUCAUCCCCACUGCUUCAUUCUCCUAUAAAAAGAUCUACAUUUACUUGGUCUCAAACUUCUCAUAGACAUUAACCUAAAUACGUACAAAUAAUUAAAUGAUGUUCGAGUCAUGUGAAAUAAUUAAAAUUUUAAUUUUCCUCAAUUAAAAUGCUUUGUUUUUAACAAAUUCAAUAUUUAAUGUAUAUAAUUAAUUCUUACCUAAACUAAAAAAUGUUCAUAAUUAGAACUCUCAAAAAUUAAAAUAUUUUUUUAUAAAUUAAGAACAUUAAAUGAAUUGAGACAAAUUAUUUUGUACUACAAUCAAUUUUGGAAUUGAAAUCUUGCCAUAAUCAAUUUAUUUCAGUGCUAACGGAUUAAAAGAUAUCUUAAUUAUUUUAAUAAAAAAAACAAUAUUUUUAGCACUUCCCUAAUCAGAUACAUAACUACUUAUUUUAAGUUUCAUCACUUCUAAUCAAACACGUAACUAUUUUAAGAAAAAUUCAAUUUCAGCAUUUCAAAAGUACAUUUAAGCUUAGGUGCUUAAAAACUACUUUAUUCAGCUAAUUCAAAUAGGCUCUAAAUAUAUUUGUUUGCAACAAAUUUUAGAGCCGAGAAAAAUAAAAAUGCAAUCACAAAAAAAUAAACAAACAAGAAUAUUUUAUUGAUUAAUCAAUAUAAGUACAAUUUUGUUUUUCCCUUGAUUCUUCUCUCGUAAUAUUUCUCCAUGAUUCGAAGGUCGUUAGUGGAAUAUUUCUCAAACUAUGGUGAUUUAAAUUUGAUCUCUUCAUGAAUUUGCAGAAUAUUUGAAAUGCCUCUCCAAGAAAAUAUAUUGUCCUUUAUAUAGGCAUGAGAUAGGGUUUAGGGUAGAGUUGUGACGUCCUAACUUAAGACAGGAAGUCCUACAUCGGCAAAAACAUAGGAGAGAUGUUAGGUAUAUAAGUAAGGAGGCCUUACCAAUUAAUGACGUGUUUUAAAGUUUUGCGGACCUAAGCCUAGAGCGGACAAUAUCAUUAGUAGAUCGGAUCGUUACAAAUGGUAUCUGCGUCACUCUUAUGUCAGCCUUGUCGAUUUGGGCCAGAGUUCAACUAAGUUUAAGCAAAUCCUGAUAAGGCGAGGCAAACCUCAGUACUGAGUCUAAGGCAAUCUCAUAUGGUAGGUCAACCCUCAGCGAGGACGUUAAGUUCACAAAGGGUGUAUGUGACGCCUCAACUUAAGACAAGAAGUCCCACAUCGACAAAACACAAGAGAGAUGUUAGGUAUAUAAGUAAGCAGACCGUAUCAACUAGUGACGCGUUUUAAAGUCGUGCAGGCCUAGAUCCAGAGCGGACAAUGUCACUAGUGGGUCGGACCGUUAGAAGAGUAGCCUCCAAUAUUCCUAACUGAAAUCAAACACGUCUUGUAGAGUCUCACAAAAUUUGAAUGUCUACAAUAUUAUAAAUUGCACAUGCAUUUUAAAUAAUAAUUCUAAAAGCGGCUACUUUGUCUCAUUUUAUACUCUAUUAUACUUAGGCUUUAUUUGUUUAUGUUAAGAUUCGGAUGUCUAAAUCUGAAUGUAUAUCUGAAUGAUUAAGAUGUGGUCUCUAGAUCUGAACAUUGAAUGAUUAAGCCUGUUUAUUUUUCAAUAUUUGAAUAUACAUAAUUUAUUUAUAUGUAUAUAAUAAUUAUACAAUUCAAAUAAAAAUUAAUUAGACAUAAAUAAAUUAAUAAAAUAAAAUUAUUAUUUGAUUAAAAAAUGAAGCACUUAGGAUCUGUUUGGAUGGACUUAUAAAUCAAAAGUUAAAAGUCAUAAGUAAAUAAUGGUACCCUUCUUUUGACUUUUGUCAUAUUUUUUUUUAAAAAAAAUAGCCUAAAAAUGGGUGCUUAAUUAUAAUUUUCUAAAUACCUCCAAAACUACUUAAAAGACAAAAACACCUAAAAAUAAGGUAAUCCAAACGGACAUUUGUACUCGCUAGUAAUGAUAGAGAUAGUUUAAAGUGGUGGUAGCGAUGAUAAUAAUUGUUGUUAGGAUGAUAGUGGUGAUAGUUGUGAAAGUGGAGAUGGAUAAUGUUGUGGUGACUAUCAUAACAGUGGUGAUCGAUAAUGGUGUUGGUGCUUGUAAUGAUGAAAUUGGUUGUCCAUAGUUGGCGGUGUUGAUGAUGAUGGCCGAAGAAUGUGUGAUUAUUGGUGAGGCAUUUUGUAGUAGUUGGUGGUCGUGCUAGUUAUGAUAAUGGAGUAAGUUAGCAGUAUAGAUUAACCACGGUGAUGGUAAUAACUAACAAUAGUGGUGGUAGUGGUGAUCCGAGAAUGUAUGGUGAUAGUUGGCGGCGGUGCUAGUUGUGAUGACAGAGUUUGUUGAUACUAGGACUUGACUAUAGUGGUGAUAGUGGUUGAUACUAGUAGUGGAGGUGGUAGCAACUACAGAGACGGGAAUAAUAGUAACAAUGGAUAUAAUCAUAAUGAUGAAAAAGAUAAGAGUGAUAGCAGCUAAUAACAGUAGUUAGCAACAAUGGCGGUUAUGAUAACAGAGGUGGUUGGUGGUAGACGUCGAUAGAGUAGUUGAUAAUGGCGGUGAUGGUGGUUGUGAUAGGAAAAGUGAUUAGUGAUGGUGAGUGGAGAUUGUGAAUAGAGUGAUAGAAAAUAUUAUCCACAUAAGAAUACAUCUUAAUGAUAUUAUGAUUCUAUUUUAAAUUUUAGACUUAUUUAACCUUGUUAAGUAUUUAAAUCUUGAUAAAUAUAAAUACACUUAAUUACAUUUUAACCUCCAUUAAGUACAAGCAAAUAAGACCUUACAAGCAUGCUUGGUUGGAACUUGUAGCUUUUGACUUAUAACCCACAAGACAUAAAUUAAGAAUUUUAGCUUAUAACUUCCAACAUAUUUCUAUAUUUUUUUAGUUUAAAAAGUAGUGAUUAAAGCACAUUUUUAUUUUAAUCAAACACUACAUAUGUCAAAUUAAAGUUUGGACCAAACGGACUCUUUCUCAUUUGAAGCCACAUUCACAAUGUCAGGGUUAGAGAAAUAAUAUAACCAAUUUGAGACAUAUUUAUAAAACUUUAAACCAUCAAUUGUCGAGAGUUGCCGUUUCCUUUCCAUUGUACUUGGUGUUUGCCAUUAUCUUCAAAUAAUUGAGAAACAAAAUAGGCCACUCGUAACAAGCAGUCAUUCCUAAUAACAAGAAACGAAGUAGGCCAUAUAACUAACCCUUUCUCAAUUUGCCAAUGCCCAAAUCAAUAUAAUGAACACUAUGAACCAAAGGUUCAAACAGAUCAAUCUUUGCUUGGAGUACAAACUACUUCAGAUCCUAAGUUUCGGUUGAUACCUCAAGCAAUAGACCAUAAUUGCACGGAAUUAAGAAAACGGAAAGUGCAGAUAUAUUCUAGCUACAAGGAGCCAAACACAGCUCAACAAAUCAUUUAGUGACCAACAGAAAAUGUCUGAGAACAGCAAUUGUACUUAACAUCAAAACCCUCUGAAAAACAGGAUUUUUGAGAGUCGUUAUCAAAUAAUAUAACUUGACAAGACACAUCUAUAUGGCCGAAAUUGAUCACAACAAUUUAAUGACAAAAUCUUUGACUGCUACUAUAGGUCUUUUAAAAUGUAUUAAGGGUAAAAUGCAAAAAGUAAUACAAACCCAACCAAGUUUGUCCCUUCAUCAAACCAUCAACUUAAUUCAUGAAGCACUUGGCAAAGUCUCAGAUUUGUCAGUCUCCAUUGGCUCGCCAGCAGGUGGUACUUCACUGUCAGCACUGGCACCCUCAGUAGCAUUAGGACUCGCUGCACCCUGAGGUUGUUGCUCACCUCCUUGAGGAGGUUGAGGUGACGGUGUUUCAGGAGUUGCUGGCUUAGCUGGCUUAGGCUUUGUCAUUAUAGGCCUACACACCCUGUACAAACAGAUAGUUAAAAAGUGGAUUAAAAGCAGAAGGAGAAACAGGGAAGGAAGAUUAGCCCAAAUGUGGAAGGACAGCGACUAGCAAAUCAAGAAAUGAUAUCAACAAACUUUGCAAUAAAAUUAGCCCAAAUAUUGUGAUCUACAAGUUAUGGCAAAAUCCGACCGGAGGCAAUAACACUAGAUGAUUACUU